rnacentral:rRNA from 1 species
AGCAGCCGCGGUAAUUCCAGCUCCAAUAGCGUAUAUUAAAGUUGUUGCAGUUAAAAAGCUCGUAGUUGAAUUUCGGGAUUGACGUGAUGGUCGUGCCUUAAGGGGUAUGAACUGUCGCAGUUGAUUUCUCACCUUCUGGAGAAGCAUGAUGUCCUUAAUUGGGUGUCAUGUGGAACCAGGACCUUUACCUUGAAAAAAUUAGAGUGUUUAAAGCAGGCAUUUUGCUCGAAUACAUUAGCAUGGAAUAAUAGAAUAGGACGGCAUGGUUCUAUUUUGUUGGUUUCUAGGAUCACCGUAAUGAUUAAUAGGGAUAGUUGGGGGCAUUAGUAUUCAAUUGUCAGAGGUGAAAUUCUUGGAUUUAUUGAAGACUAACUACUGCGAAAGCAUUUGCCAAGGAUGUUUUCAUUAAUCAAGAACGAAAGUUAGGGGAUCGAAGACGAUCAGAUACCGUCGUAGUCUUAACCAUAAACUAUGCCG